UUAUGCCUUCAAAUACCAUGUCAUGCACAACACUAUCCUGAACAGUAUUCUAAUCUUAUUUCAUCAAAACAGAAACAUGAGACUAAAUUGUUUAAAUGACACCUUGAAUCAAAUAAUGAGAAUAAAUUGUUUACACAAUGCCCUGACUCAAAUAUUUUUGACAAACAGACCUGUAAUGUCAUGUCCUGCACAUGUUUCUGUUGCAGUUCUCUCUCUUUCUGCCUCAGUGCAUCCUCCACUGCUUUGGACAGAUUGCUGUCUGCCUCUCGCUGCAGAGCCACUCUCUGGGCAUCAAGCCUUGCCUCCAACUGCUCCAUGGAGAAAAUCUGAGCUGCUGACUCUUGGUAAUCUGUCUGAGACGAGCCCUCCUGGGUGUCUGCAGCUUGGGCUUUUUGACUCUCCUUCAUAGCUUCCUCUAGUCUGAGUUCCCAGUUCUUCUCCAGCUAUCUCUGCUUGGCUGAGGUCAGUUGCUUGGCGACCUGCAUCUGGACCUCUGUCUCCUUCUCUUCAGUCCACUGAGCUUCAAGCUGGGUAACAGUCUCCUGGUGCUGAGAGAGCAACUCAGCUUUCAACCUCUCCAAAGCCAUCUCAGUCUCUUCUCUUCUCCUUAGCUAGACAGAAGAGAGACAGAAUAAACAGAUGAACAGAUAAAUAUAUAUAAACACAAUAAUGUAAGAAAAACUGUUUAAGAAAAAAGUGGAACAAAUAACACAAAGCACAUUCUAACAUCUCUACAUCUGAAAAUCAUUUCUGAACUAACGUGCCAUUUAGGAAGAGAUACAGUACACAUUUAAUGUGAUUAUUUGGUGCAGGAUUGUGUAAAAUAAGUUACCUCUUUCUCUCUUAGUUUCUUCUCUUCCACUAUCCUGCUCUGAAGGUUUUCUUCAAGUUUGUCCUUUUCCUUGCAAACAGAAAUGUAACAUUCCUGCACUGCUAAGACCUCUUGACUGAGUUCAGCCAAUUUUGACCUAAGGCAAAGGGACACAAGAGACUGUUUAUAUAACAAACCUUAAGGAGAACAAUUAAUAUUGUAAUCGGCUCUGAACAAGUAGAUGACUUCUAAAGAAUAAAGAGUACUGAGAUGUACUGCAUAUAA